rnacentral:rRNA from 1 species
UACGAAGGGGGGCGAGCGUUGUUCGGAAUUACUGGGCGUAAAGGGCGCGUAGGCGGCCCCCUUUUGUCGCGUGUGAAAGCCCCGGGCUCAACCUGGGAGGUGCGCGCGAAACGGGGGGGGCUUGAGUUCGGGAGAGGAGCGUGGAAUUCCCAGUGUAGAGGUGAAAUUCGUAGAUAUUGGGGAAGAACACCGGUGGCGAAGGCGGCGCUCUGGACCGAGACUGACGCUGAGGCGCGAAAGCGUGGGGGAGCAAACAGG